CGGCACGGGUGAGUAACGCGUAUGCAACCUACCUAUCAGAGGGGAAUAACCCGGCGAAAGUCGGACUAAUACCGCAUAAAACAGGGGUUCCACAUGGAAAUAUUUGUUAAAGAAUUAUCGCUGAUAGAUGGGCAUGCGUUCCAUUAGAUAGUUGGUGAGGUGACGGCUCACCAAGUCCACGAUGGAUAGGGGUUCUGAGAGGAAGGUCCCCCACACUGGUACUGAGACACGGACCAGACUCCUACGGAAGGCAGCAG
rnacentral:rRNA from 1 species